GACGAACGCUGGCGGCGUGCUUAACACAUGCAAGUCGAACGGAAAGGCCCUGCUUUUGUGGGGUGCUCGAGUGGCGAACGGGUGAGUAACACGUGAGUAACCUGCCCUUGACUUUGGGAUAACUUCAGGAAACUGGGGCUAAUACCGGAUAGGAGCUCCUGCUGCAUGGUGGGGGUUGGAAAGUUUCGGCGGUUGGGGAUGGACUCGCGGCUUAUCAGCUUGUUGGUGGGGUAGUGGCUUACCAAGGCUUUGACGGGUAGCCGGCCUGAGAGGGUGACCGGCCACAUUGGGACUGAGAUACGGCCCAGACUCCUACGGGAGGCAGCAGUGGGGAAUAUUGCACAAUGGGCGGAAGCUUGAUGCAGCAACGCCGCGUGCGGGAUGACGGCCUUCGGGAUGUAAACCGCUUUCGCCUGUGACGAAGCGUGAGUGACGGUAAUGGGUAAAGAAGCACCGGCUAACUACGUG
rnacentral:rRNA from 1 species